rnacentral:rRNA from 1 species
CCGACUGCUAUUUGGGUGAGAAUAAGCCAUGCGAGUUGAAUGGGAUACCUAAAGUUCCCAUAGCAAACUGCUCAGUAACACAUGAUCAACUUACCCUAUAGAGAAAAAUAACCUCGGGGAACUGAGGAUAAUGUUUCAUAAUUGAAUUGGCUUGGAAAAGUUUUUCAAUGAAAAGGAUAAAAAAAUGGUUUUUAUCCGCUAUAGGAUAGGAUCGUGUUCGAUUAUGGUUGUUGGUGAGAUAAUGGCUCACCAAGCCGAUAAUCGAUAGGGGCCGUGAGAGCGGGAGCCCCGAGAUGGGUACUGAGACAACGACCCAGGCCUUACGAGGCGCAGCAGGCGCGAAACCUCCGCAAUACACGAAAGUGUGACGGGGUUACCCAAAGCGUUCAAUUUGAACUGUGGUAGGUGAGUAAUGUCCCCUACUAGAAAGGAGAGGGCAAGGCUGGUGCCAGCCGCCGCGGUAAAACCAGCUCUUCAAGUGGUCGGGAUAAUUAUUGGGCUUAAAGUGUCCGUAGCCGGUUUAGUAAGUUCCUGGUAAAAUCGGGUAGCUUAACUAUCUGCAUGCUAGGAAUACUGCUAUACUAGAGGGCGGGAGAGGUCUGAGAUACUACAGGGGUAGGGGUGAAAUCUUAUAAUCCUUGUAGGACCACCAGUGGCGAAGGCGUCAGACUGGAACGCGCCUGACGGUGAGGGACGAAAGCCAGGGGAGCGAACCGGAUUAGAUACCCGGGUAGUCCUGGCCGUAAACGAUGCAUACUAGGUGAUGGUACGGCCAUGAGCCGUAUCAGUGCCGUAGGGAAACCGUUAAGUGUGCCGCCUGGGAAGUACGGUCGCAAGGCUAAAACUUAAAGGAAUUGGCGGGGGAGCACCACAAGGGGUGAAGCCUGCGGUUC